AUUGAACGCUGGCGGCAUGCCUUACACAUGCAAGUCGAGCGGCAGCACGGGUGCUUGCACCUGGUGGCGAGUGGCGAACGGGUGAGUAAUACAUCGGAACAUGUCCUGUAGUGGGGGAUAGCCCGGCGAAAGCCGGAUUAAUACCGCAUACGAUCUACGGAUGAAAGCGGGGGACCUUCGGGCCUCGCGCUAUAGGGUUGGCCGAUAGCUGAUUAGCUAGUUGGUGGGGUAAAGGCCUACCAAGGCGACGAUCAGUAGCUGGUCUGAGAGGACGACCAGCCACACUGGGACUGAGACACGGCCAAGCCUCCAAGGGGAGGCAGCGGUGGGGAAUUUUGGAAAAUGGGGGAAAGCCUGAUCCAGCAAGGCCGGGGGGGGGAAGAAGGCCUUCGGGUUGUAAAGCACUUUUGUCGGGAAAAAAAUCCUUGGCUCUAAUACAGUCGGGGGAGGAGGGUACUGGAAGAAUAAGCACCGGCUAACUACGU
rnacentral:rRNA from 1 species